UUGGGUUCCUUUCCAAAAUGUUAUGAAAAAGUGAUUUGCUUUCAGAAAGGAAUCGCUCGGCUAAAAAUAAUAAAUAUGUUAUAGCUAAUGUGGAAACUGAAAAUGUCAGAGGUGAUGUGGAAAUCAUCGGAGCGGACUGAACUGAAAGGAUGAAUGAUCCUUAGGAGUCAAAGGAAGCUGCCGCAGAAAAUCCAACUGUUAGCAGUCGGGACAGUUUGGAAACCACAGAUGAAAGAUCCCAGCUUCCUGUGUAGGCUUCAGGAGAACUGAGACACCUUCUGCUGGCUUGAGUGAAGGAGCCAGUUGCUGCCUGUAUGAUGUGUCCUGAUGCUGCCCAUUUCUGGGUGUUAAAAAAGCCUCCUUGCUGAAACUCUUUAACUCCGCAAUAGAAGCAAAACAAAACUGGGCUACAAAGAUGCAAGAUCAGGAUUGGAUGGAGAGUGAGCUUGGGAACGAACUCUCCGGGAAGUACAUGAGAGGGAUCAAAGCUCAUUGCACGUGAACUGAACAAUGAAAGAAUAAAACAACUUACAAGCUACAUCAGUCCUGGAAAACAAAAGCAUUUUACAGAAGAUUUCCUCUUGUUUGAGUUGUGAUAUCCAACCGUGAUGGAUAAUCACUUCUUAUCCAGGUUGGUUUUCUGCUUCAGAGACAGGGAGUUUUCACUUUAAGCCUGGUUAAAGAGGGGAUGCAGCUGUGUCUGAAUUAACCCUUAGCUCAGCAGUAGGGUUUUCUCAGGCUGCUUUGAGAAGAAAAACAUGGUUAAAACAACAAAAAAGUUUUAACUUUUGCCUCGAGGGCUGGAAACCUAUUUUUCAAGCAGCUUAACUUCUGUCAUUCUCAGUGCGUCCCUUCAAAUUAGCUUCAGACAGUGAAAUAAAUAGAAAAUAUUGCCCAAUAGUCCUUGGUUUUAUCAGAAAUGACUUUUAAAAAAGCAGAGGAAAAAAGAAAAGAAAAAGAAAGCCUGAAUCAUAAAGGCCUGCUGCUUCUUUUUGCUGAUGUGAAAUCACAAGCUAUUGAGGUUAUGGUUGUUCAAUUAUAACAAACCAGGAGUUUGAUGAUGCUGGGUUAAAUGUUCUGGACAAGACAUACUGUGAAUUUCCUCACGUUUGAUUUCUAAGUUUCAGCAAAGGAAAAAUAACUCCAAGUAAACCUGGUAGAAAGAUCUCAUCAUGUUAUAAGAUGUUAAUAUUGAUUCUGGAGAGCUGAGAAGAGUGAGAGAUGGGAGAGGAGGGCGCGACUAAGAAAUGGCACUGGUUUCUCCAUAAGCAUGCUUCCUUGGGAAGCAAGAGCUGUUCUGCUCAAGUAAAGGGCAAAUAUCUUCCUUUCUGGAUGUUUGUCAGCGGUCUCCUGGUAGUCAGGCACCCAUCUGUAGCACAGAAACAGCUCCUGAUUUAAUAUGGUGGGGUCCCUUGCAUGCACGGACUUUGUUUUCUCAACAGAAAGGAAAAGAGAAAUCAAAAGCAGAGGAGGUAUUCAAGAACUGUAGAGACACUGAGGGACAU